rnacentral:rRNA from 1 species
AAAAACAUGGUUUUUUGUUUAUAUAAAAAAUCUGACCUGCUCAGUGAGUUUUUAAAUAGCUGCAGUAUUUUGACUGUACAAAGGUAGCAUAAUCACUUGUCUUUUAAUUGAGGUCUGGAAUGAAUGGUUUGAUGAAAAAAAUACUUUAUUUAUUUUUUAUGGAAAACUUAAUUUUUAAGUUAAAAAGCUUCUAAAUUUUUUUAUAGGACGAGAAGACCCUAUAGAGCUUUAUUUUCUUGUUUUUAUAAUUUUUUUGGAUUAUAUUUUUUUAUAAAAUAUAGUAAAUUUUGUUGGGGUGACAAAAAAAAUUAUAUAACUUUUUUUAAUUUUUUCAUUAAUUGAUGUAUAUUUGAUCCUUUUUUUGGAGAAAAAGAAUAAGCUACCUUAGGGAUAACAGCGUUAUUGUUUCGGAGAGUUCAUAUCGAUGAAAUAGUUUGCGACCUCGAUGUUGGAUUAAAAUAAGAUAUAGAAGUAGAAUAUUAUAUUCUUGGUCUGUUCGACCUUUAAAUUUUUAC